CAAUCCUGUCGGUCCUCCUCCUCCUCCCUUCUUAACUGCAUUUAAUGUGCCUGAAGGGAAAACGUUGGAAACAUUGCACUAAGAUUAAAAAUACUCUGCAAGCAAUAAGAGUUAUAUUUAGUGCUGGUGAAAGGUGGUGGAUUCACAGUCCUGCCAGGUGAAAUCAUCUAUUCAACCAUGUAAUUGCUACCGGACAAGCUUCCCUGCACUGCACCAUGCAAUAAGUCCUAAAAGGAGCUGGAGGAAACACUCCUGAGAGUUGAGAUGGAAGGAAGGGAAAUCCAAGUUUCAGAGAUGCAGAAUAGCGUCACUCGCUGGAUCACAGCAGAUGUCAAUUGCAGAACUGCAAAUAGAACUGACGUCAUCUUCACUUCAGGCAUCCUAGUAGCAUAAAGAAGAGUUGACAAGAAGAAGGUAUAGGAAGAAGGCACAUAUAUGAUAAAGAAUAAGGGGG